rnacentral:rRNA from 1 species
GUCUUUUUGAUUAUAAUUUAAAGUCAAGCCUGCUCUAUGAAAUUUUAAAUGGCCGCAGUAUUUUGACUGUGCAAAGGUAGCAUAAUCAUUAGUUUCUUAAUUAGAAGCUGGAAUGAAGGGUUUAAUGAAAAAAAAACUGUCUUAAUUUAAAAAUUAAAACUUUAUUUUUAAGUUAAAAAGCUUAAAUUUAUUAAAAAGACGAGAAGACCCUAUAGAGUUUAAUAAAUUUAAUUUUAUAAAAUUUUAAGAUUUAAAUAAAUUAUAAAUUUAUGGUUUAUUUUAUUGGGGUGAUAAAAAAAUUUGUAAAACUUUUUAAAAUAUAAGUUCAUUAAUAUAUGAAAUUUUGAUCCUAAGUUUUAGAUUAAAAGAAAAAAUUACCUUAGGGAUAACAGCGUAAUUUUUUUUGAAAGUUCUUAUUGAAAAAAAAGAUUGCGACCUCGAUGUUGGAUUAAAAUUUAAUUUUGGUGUAGAAGCUAAAAUAUUAAGUC